rnacentral:rRNA from 1 species
GAUAGCCGGCCUAACGGCCGAGUAAUACCGCAUACGCUCUCGAUGAGGCAUUUCAUUGAGAGGAAACCUCCGGGGUAUUUCGAGGGGCUCGCGGCCUAUCAGCUAGUUGGCGAGGUAACGGCUCACCAAGGCAACGACGGGUAGCUGGUCUGAGAGGAUGGCCAGCCACAUUGGGACUGAGAUACGGCCCAGACUCCUACGGGAGGCAGCAGUGGGGAAUCUUGCGCAAUGGCCUAACGGCUGACGCAGCGACGCCGCGUGUGGGAUGAAGCUCUUCGGAGUGUAAACCACUGUUGCCCGGGACGAAUAGCUCGAUUAAUCGAGCCUGACAGUACCGGGUGAGGAAGCACCGGCUAACUCCGUGCCAGCAGCCGCGGUAAUACGGGGGGUGCGAGCGUUGUCCGGAAUCACUGGGCGUAAAGGGCGCGUAGGUGGUUUGAUAAGGGUGUGGUGAAAGUCCGGGGCUCAACCCCGGAUCUGCCGUGCCGACUGUCAAACUCGAGGACUGUAGAGGCAGACGGAAUUCCGGGUGUAGCGGUGGAAUGCGUAGAGAUCCGGAGGAAGACCGGUGGCGAAGGCGGUCUGCUGGGCAGUUUCUGACACUGAGGCGCGACAGCGUGGGGAGCAAACAGGAUUAGAUACCCUGGUAGUCCACGCCGUAAACGAUGGGUACUAGGUGCCUGGGGGAGCGACCCUCUGGGUGCCGGCGCUAACGCAGGAAGUACCCCGCCUGGGGAGUACGACCGCAAGGUUGAAACUCAAAGGAAUUGACGG